CCUACGGGGGGGCAGCAGUAGGGAAUCUUCCACAAUGGACGAAAGUCUGAUGGAGCAACGCCGCGUGAGUGAAGAAGGGUUUCGGCUCGUAAAACUCUGUUGUUAAAGAAGAACAUAUCUGAGAGUAACUGUUCAGGUAUUGACGGUAUUUAACCAGAAAGCCACGGCUAACUACGUGCCAGCAGCCGCGGUAAUACGUAGGUGGCAAGCGUUGUCCGGAUUUAUUGGGCGUAAAGCGAGCGCAGGCGGUUUUUUAAGUCUGAUGUGAAAGCCUUCGGCUCAACCGAAGAAGUGCAUCGGAAACUGGGAAACUUGAGUGCAGAAGAGGACAGUGGAACUCCAUGUGUAGCGGUGAAAUGCGUAGAUAUAUGGAAGAACACCAGUGGCGAAGGCGGCUGUCUGGUCUGUAACUGACGCUGAGGCUCGAAAGUAUGGGUAGCAAACAGGAUUAGAUACCCUGGUAGUCCAUACCGUAAACGAUGAAUGCUAAGUGUUGGAGGGUUUCCGCCCUUCAGUGCUGCAGCUAACGCAUUAAGCAUUCCGCCUGGGGAGUACGGCCGCAAGGUUGAAACUCAAAGGGAAUUUGACGG
rnacentral:rRNA from 1 species